UACGGGGGGGGCAAGCGUUGUUCGGAAUUACUGGGCGUAAAGGGCUCGUAGGCGGCCAACUAAGUCAGACGUGAAAUCCCUCGGCUUAACCGGGGAACUGCGUCUGAUACUGGAUGGCUAGAGUGUGGGAGAGGGAUGCGGAAUUCCAGGUGUAGCGGUGAAAUGCGUAGAUAUCUGGAGGAACACCGGUGGCGAAGGCGGCAUCCUGGACCGACACUGACGCUGAGGAGCGAAAGCCAGGGGAGCAAACGGG
rnacentral:rRNA from 1 species